rnacentral:tRNA from 1 species
AAAUAAAUAGCUAAAUUUUAAGUAUAUUAUUUACAAUAAUAUGAUGUUUUUAAACUUUAUUU